rnacentral:rRNA from 1 species
UGGGGAAUCUUGGACAAUGGGCGCAAGCCUGAUCCAGCCAUGCCGCGUGAGUGAAGAAGGCCUUAGGGUUGUAAAGCUCUUUUGGCAGGGACGAUAAUGACGGUACCUGCAGAAUAAGCCCCGGCAAACUUCGUGCCAGCAGCCGCGGUAAUACGAAGGGGGCUAGCGUUGUUCGGAUUUACUGGGCGUAAAGCGCACGUAGGCGGAUUGUUAAGUCAGGGGUGAAAUCCCGGAGCUCAACUCCGGAACUGCCUUUGAUACUGGCAAUCUUGAGGCUGGAAGAGGUUGGUAGAAUUCCCAGUGUAGAGGUGAAAUUCGUAGAUAUUGGGAAGAAUACCAGUGGCGAAGGCGGCCAACUGGUCCAGAUCUGACGCUGAGGUGCGAAAGCGUGGGGAGCAAACA